rnacentral:tRNA from 1 species
CGGUUGUUGAAGGGAAUCGGUAUACCUUCCAGUCUUAGAUAUUGGAGUUUCUGAGUUCGAGUCUCAGACAACCCACCA